AGUGAACGCUGGCGGUAGGCCUAACACAUGCAAGUCGAACGGCAGCACAGUAAGAGCUUGCUCUUACGGGUGGCGAGUGGCGGACGAGUGAGGAAUACAUCGGAAUCUACUUUUUCGUGGGGAUAACGUAGGGAAACUUACGCUAAUACCGCAUACGACCUACGGGUGAAAGCAGGGGAUCUUCGGACCUUGCGCGAUUGAAUGAGCCGAUGUCGGAUUAGCUAGUUGGCGGGGUAAAGGCCCGCCAAGGCGACGAUCCGUAGCUGGUCUGAGAGGAUGAUCAGCCACACUGGAACUGAGACACGGUCCAGACUCCUACGGGAGGCAGCAGUGGGGAAUAUUGGACAAAGGGCGCAAGCCUGAUCCAGCCAUACCGCGUGGGUGAAGAAGGCCUUCGGGUUGUAAAGCCCUUUUGUUGGGAAAGAAAAGCAGCAGGUUAAUACCCCGCUGUUCUGACGGUACCCAAAGAAUAAGCACCGGCUAACUUCGUG
rnacentral:rRNA from 1 species